CAGAGUUCAUGCCCGAAAGGGUAGACCUCCCACCCUUGUGUAUUAUUACUUUGUUGCUUUGGCGAGCUGCCUUCGGGCCUUGUAUGCUCGCCAGAGGAUAAUUAAACUCUUUUUAUUAAUGUCGUCUGAGUACUAUAUAAUAGUUA
rnacentral:sRNA from 1 species